CAGUACGACGCAGCUUCUCCUUGUCAGAACAGGAUUAGGAGUGCGUUGAGAGAAAUCUAACUUCAGCGUCCCUCUGGGGAGCUCCUCAGCAGAGACUGUCUCUGCCCUGUGACAGUGGAAGAGUAUCCCCAGGGACAUGGGCCCCUUGGCCUCUCUGGGCAGCAGGGACCUUCAGGGGCUGCAGGAGGCCUGGUCUAUAGCUUUGACAGAUGAUCACGGGAGAAAAGCAAAGCGAGGGAUCCUCUGUUAUGAAACGCAGUCGUCGGGAGGCUGCGUCUGAGGACAGACAGCUCCAGCAUGCCGUGAAAUCAGCCUGAUCCUUGCAUUUGAAGCUAUGUUUAUUCUCUCUUGCUUGAGAUUUUUGUUGUUAUCUGAUUUGAUUACAAAAUGAAAAGCUGGAUGUUUAAGCAGUUUUCACAGAAACACUUAGCAAAGAUAUCGUGGGACUGGAAAAGGAAAGAGGAAGACUGACUUCAUGCAAGUCACUGAACCUCAUUGGGCCUCAGUUGCCCCAUCUGUAAAAUGGGGUAAGACAAUAACUGUCCAAAGUGAGGUCGACUUUCUUGUACUUCCUUCAAGCUCAGAAAUCCAUGAUAAAUUGGAGGCCUAUGAUUUUAUACCAAAGUAAUGUGCAAAUAAAUGCCAGCGUGCCCUAUGCUUCCUGCUGACUCGGGGGACAUGGUCAGGCCUGCCCUGACAUUUGCAGGGCCCAGAGCAAGUGGCCAGGGCAAGAUUACAAAUGGAAGCCCUGAUAGCAUAUGUUAUAAUAUUUAAAAGUUAUCAAUCAAGCUAAUAAACUGCGAAAUAAAAUAUGUUUUGCUCUCCUACCUUGACAAAUUGCCUUCAAAAUGACCUGGAAGGCCAGGUUGGACUUGCGAAUUCCUGAAGUCCUCAGAGUUCCACACCCCAACAUGGCAGGAGGAAGAGCCUGCCCCAGCCUCCCCCCUUUUCUUCCCACUCCUGGCUCCAUCUCAUGCUGCAAGGGGCCUUGCACUUAUGCUCAUGAGCAACCCAGCUCGCAUGUCCACACUCUGUGAACACACACGCACACACAUGCACGCACACACACCAAUGGACCCAGGGCU
rnacentral:lncRNA from 1 species